AAAGUCUCCCUGCGACCCAAGGCACUGAACUCUCCCACGGCGGAGGCGCCGCGACCGGCCUGCGCCGGGCCGGGACCGACGCCCAAUCUUGGCCCCCGCCCCGUGUUGUGGUUGACCGGUUGUCAAGCUUUGAUCUCUUUGCCGGCGCUCUGCCCACCACUCCAUUUCCACUGGGACUACUUCUAACAUCCCCAACUCCAGAGAAGCCUUCAACAGCUGCCUGUCUUUAUAAGAAGAACAUGCAGCUGGAAACAAGGAAGAGAAACCAGCACCAUAUGUCCAACCAGCUGUCCAGGGACUGCCAGCACCCUGUUCUUUCCACCCCUAUCAGGGUGCACACCUGGGCUUUCCAAGUGCAUCCCACAAGAGGCAGCAAACAGCCAUUCUGGCUUUUAGAGACUCAAUCCCAGUCAUGGAAGGUGAAUACAACUUGAGGGGCUAGGCCGGGGCUCGACCCUCUCUGGGGCAGCGCGGAGCCACACCGUUUCGCUACAGCCAGUUGACUUUGGGGAAUUUGUUCGGCCACCGGAGUCUCCCUCGGCAGCCCUUGCGGUAACUGGAACGAGCACCGUAGGCCCGGGCCCUGAGUCAUGGAGGGGCCCCAAAUAGUCAGUAGCUCAGGCCCUCGGGCAGGGGCUGAGCAACACAGCACGUGUGAAUUAGCCCCGACCUACAAGGACCUGGAAGAGGGGGAGACUGCCACUCACAAGCUGGGUGGCAGGGACGAAGCAGGCCCACCCACUUCACUGCGUCCCAGCCCGGGGCCCUCGCAGCAGCAAACAACCACUGCUGGGUCAGUGUGGAUCCUGAUCGCAACACACUGACAUGGGUUCUGGCAGAGUUACAGCCAGACUAGGGUCGGCUGCCCCCGGGCUGCUUCCUACCUCCCCUCCUUUUGGUACCUGGGUCACGGCGGUGUUCCCCGUGGGGCCCAGCACCAUGGGCUCCUUGGGGCAGCGGACAAGCGGCAGGCCUGGUAACUCCCCCGGAUAGCUGGCACAGGGCAGGUCCGGCCAGUCUUGGCAUGGACCUGGGGCUGCAGGGUUUUCCCAGUCGUGGGCUAGGCUGACUACAUCUGCCCCCCCCUCGGCGGCUGGUCCUCUAGUGAGCUCUGAGGGCCUGCCUUUCUGCUUCUGGGUCACCGCCUGUCCCUCUGAGGGGCGGGCUCAGAGCUUCCUGGCUCCGCCCAUUCUGGUGUCUGGAGGCUCCGCCCACUCUGGUGUCCCUCCGAGGCGGCGGGGAGCCACACCGCCUCGCUACACUUCUUCAAAGUAAAAGUUUCUCAGGAGCCUAAGUUUUAGAACCUAGGGCAUGUGUGCUGCUGCCUGACUCUAGGCAUCUGGGUGCCUGUCUCCUGCCUAAGCCCCAGGGUGAUGCGUGAACCAAGGGACGAUAAGUCUUCUGCUGCCUAACUCUCUCAAGGGGCCUGCUGAGCAUGCUUACCAGGUUGGGCUACUUUCAAAUGCCAGCUGGUGGUAGUAGUGCCUACCUCUUAGCCCAGUGGUUAGCGCACUUGCCCAGGAUGUGGGAGACCCAGCUUCAAGCCCUCCUAGCACAGGGGGAGAAAGGAGAGAACAGGGGGCUCGGAAGCAACUACAGAGCACUGAAGAAUGUUGUGAAUUGCUAGCAGAGUAAAGUGCUUCUCCCACCCUGCCCUUUCUCAGAGAUAGGCCAGGCUUUAGAGAAUUAGCACAUCAGCAUCUAUUUCCCCUGGGCUAGCCUAAGCAGGAGCUACCUGGCAUGCUGGCUUCUGUGGAUAGCAUUCUAAGGCACCUAUCUCUUCACAUUCAUUGUACAGGGAGCCUCGGUUCCCAGUUUGCCUUGUGCUCAUAGUGUUGUUCCCUAUUUCCAAGUCUCUGUCCCAGGCCAUACUGGAAUGAAUGAAGGUUACAUUGUGUACAAAAGAUUGGAGAUAGGUUUUAAUACAAACUUCCCAUGUGAACACCCUUCAAUUUUGGGAAGGUUCCAAUCCAGAUUAGAAAGUCAUUAUUAGCUCCUGUCUCUAUAAUAAGUUAAGUGAAGCCCCCCAGCUGCGUCUGAACACCCCCUCCCACCCUUCCAUAUUACUGUCCAGCUUCUGGAAGCAGUCAGAUAGGGAUCCAGGUGCAGUUCUGAAGGUAGAUCCCUCCACAGUGGUGGAGUAAAUGAUAAGCAACUCCCCCAGAAGUGAAGUCGUUGUUGGAUGGACAAACAUAUUCCAGUCUUCCAAAUUGUCAUUAAAAUAUAGGUGACCAGGGCAUAACAUCUACUUGCUUGUCCCUUACCUUGAUGAUAAUGAUAAAACUGAUGAUAUUUUAUUUGUUCAUCAAACGAAAAAUAUCCACGGCAAGUAGAAUUUUGCAGGUCUGGUCUAUUCACACACUUCUGGCAUUGGAAAGGUUGAAAAACCAAUAACAUCUACUGACAUUGAACUUCCCUGGCAGACAGGUACCAUGAAUUCAACACGUACUUAUUUUCCUACUUCUAGAGUCCUCUGCAAGUCUUACUGACAUGCUAUCAUCCCUAGAUGGCUAAUGAAAAUGUUACAUGGAUUGUUCCAGCAGCAAUCGCUGUGGUACACACACACACACCCCGCUGCCCCAUAAACAACUCAAUGCUUUGGUGCUAACCAUUAACUAUUUAUUUAUGGUCCUUCAGCCACUUUUAAAUCCAGGUAGCAACUCCCAGCUAAUCUGAAGUUUUCAAGUACUAUGGGCCCAAUGCUGCUCCCACUGAAGUCAGGGCAAAACUUGCCAUAUGGGUGUUUCCUGUGUGAGGGCUCUGGUGGGAGGGGCCUUGUGUGUCCUCUCUCUCACUUGUGCAGACCACCUAUGGUUUAGCUUGACCUAUGUAAUAUUAAAUGUAGUUAAUUUGUUUUACAGUACCUUGUCAGGCACUAUUUCCUCCUCACUGCUGUUCACUAUCAAAGUAUGCAUGUAUAAAUAGAAGCAAUUGGAGGGGUGUUCCUCCCUGAGGGCAUAAUUCAUUGCCAGAGAUAACAUAAUUCACUGUUUGGGAAGUGAUCACACUGGAUUAAGAUGCCACUAUAUAAACAAGACAGGAAGAAUGAGAUGGCUGUAAAUGAAGUAGUUUCUAUGCACCCAGCAGUAUCUUGAGUCAGCUGUGAUGGAAAAGAAAUAUGGAAAAGUUUCAUAAGAGUUAGGAGAGGCUCAUGGGCGGCGGGUAAAGCUUCCCCUGCGGGAGGCUCGCUCCCUGUCCUGCUUCUUCUGCCUGCGGCCCUACCCACGCUCCACCCAUGCUCCUCCCCAGGCCCUGCUCCCUCCCCCGCAACCUUCGCCACCCUCCACAUCCCUUCUUUCUUCCACCCCGCCUCCCCCGUAAGUCUGCUCCCUGCUCACCGUGUCUCUCCUCUCAUCCAUCCCGCUC